rnacentral:rRNA from 1 species
GGGGUUAAUUUAAUAAAUAAUAAAUAUGAAAAAAAAUUUUAAUAUAAUAUAUUUAAUGGGGGUUAAAGUAUUUUUAUAGAAAAAAUUUUAAAAUUUAUAGUGAAAUAGUAUUGUGAAAGAAAAAUUGAAAAUAUUGAAAUAAAAAUUUAUUUAAAAGUAAAUUUUAUUUAUUGUAUCUUGUGUAUCAGAGUUUUUUAAAAAAAAAAAUUGGGUAAAUUUAUUUCGAAAUUUAAAGAGUUAAUUAAUUAAAAAAGUUAAUAUUGUAUAAUUAUUUUAAAUAAUUAAUUGGAAAUGAAAAGUUAAUCGUUUUGAAUGAUAUCUAAUUUUUUUAGAAAAAAGUUUAAUUUUAAAUAAAUUUUAAAAAUAAUUAAUUAAUUAAUUAUUUUUAAAAUUUAAUUUUAUAUUUUAGGGGAUAAGCUUUAAAUUAGAAUUUUAUAAUAAAAGUAAAAAAAAUUGAAAUUUUUAAAAUUUAUAUUUUUUAUAAAUUAUAGUUUAUUAUCAAUAAUUUCAUUUGAUUAAAAUUUUAUUUUAAUUUAAAUUUUUAUAAAAAAAUAUUUUUUAAUUUAAUAAAAAUAGGUAUAAUGAUAAAAUUAGUAUAUAAUUUAUAAAUAAAAUAAAAAUUAUUUAAAUUAAUAAAAAGGAAUUCGGCAAAAAU